UCUGGUCUACUCAUGUCUAGCCAAUCACUUGGAAAGUUUACUGCUGGCUGGUCUUGGCCUGAUAACUCAUCUACCUCCAGAUUGGCAGACAGAACAAGUCAAGGCCUGGCUGCUGGAGGAUCCCAGGAGCUCAGAGGGGUAAAUAGUCCAGAGAGCAUCAAACUCCAAACCUGUGUAGGCUCUGGGCAGAAGUUUCUCAGGACAAACACUGGCUUCUUCAAGGCAAGAAAUUCCCAGCGCCGGUUUGCUAAUGUUUGACAGAAAGUGGCUGAAGUCCCCACCUGCUGGUGAUGCUGUAACAAGGAUGGCCCACCUGCUGGUGACAGCAUGGACAAGGAUGGCCCACCUGCUGGUGACAGCAUGGACAAGGAUGGCCCACCUGCUGGUGAUGGCUUGGGGAGAGUCUCUGCUGUUUCCACUAAGAAGAGGAUUCCAGACCCUCUCCUUGCACCUGAGUGAGCUGGUGACUGUAGAUUUGCUGGACAGCUGGUUCCAGAGGCCGUGGGACCCAGAGUGUGGUUCAUAGAAGAACUGAGGUCCUGGAACCUCUGGGCCUUGGGAGUUGUUUGUGGAGGAUACCACUUUCAGAACUGCCCACAGCAACUUGAACAACUUGAGCAUCCUAGUCCCUCACACUGUACAUGAUCCCAGACACCACGGUGUGAGGAAGUCCAGGCAACAUAGAGAAGCCAUGAGUCAGUGUUCUGGCGGACAGCCCAGCUCAAGUGCUCAACACCAGCAGUGUGUGACUGCCACAUAUGUGAGGGAAGAGCCUUCCGCUGGUCCCAGACGGAGAGGAGAAAGCCCACAGAAACCACAGAGGAUAAUAACCGAUUAGUACCCUUUUAAAGUUAGCCUUUUUGUUUUGAGAUGGUUGUAGCAGAAGUCAACAAUGCUCGAGAGAUUCCCCUGUACCCUCCACCAGUUCUGCCAAGGCUAACAUCCUGCAAAACUACAGGACAGCCAAGAAGUAGUCACACCCACAGGCCUCCUGCCCCCAUAGCUUCUUCCUGGUACACUUUUAUGUGAUGCCCGU